AUUGAACGCUGGCGGCAUGCUUUACACAUGCAAGUCGAACGGUAACAGGUUAAGCUGACGAGUGGCGAACGGGUGAGUAAUGCAUCGGAACGUGCCCGGUCGUGGGGGAUAACACUUCGAAAGAAGUGCUAAUACCGCAUACGAUCUGAGGAUGAAAGCGGGGGACCGUAAGGCCUCGCGCGAUCGGAGCGGCCGAUGUCAGAUUAGGUAGUUGGUGGGGUAAAGGCUCACCAAGCCGACGAUCUGUAGCUGGUCUGAGAGGACGACCAGCCACACUGGGACUGAGACACGGCCCAGACUCCUACGGGAGGCAGCAGUGGGGAAUUUUGGACAAUGGGCGCAAGCCUGAUCCAGCAAUGCCGCGUGCAGGAAGAAGGCCUUCGGGUUGUAAACUGCUUUUGUACGGAGCGAAAAGGCUCUCUCUAAUACAGGGGGCUCAUGACGGUACCGUAAGAAUAAGCACCGGCUAACUACGUGCCAGCCGCAGCGGUAACAC
rnacentral:rRNA from 1 species